UACGGAGGGGGCGAGCGUUAUUCGGAAUUAUUGGGCGUAAAGGGCGCGUAGGCGGCUGAACAAGUCAAAGGUGAAAUCCCUCGGCUCAACUGAGGAACUGCCUUUGAAACUGUUCGGCUUGAGGCCGGGAGGGGGUAGCGGAAUUCCCAGUGUAGCGGUGAAAUGCGUAGAUAUUGGGAGGAACACCAGUGGCGAAGGCGCUACCUGGACCGGUUCUGACGCUGAGGCGCGAAAAGCGUGGGUAGGCAAACAGG
rnacentral:rRNA from 1 species